rnacentral:rRNA from 1 species
AUGGUUGACUUUCAACUCCUUGAGGAUAAGGUUGCGGCGAGGUUGCCCCCCUGGCAGGGGCAGAACAUUACCACGAUUGGGCGGGCGGCCUUGGUGAAAUCGGUCCUCACCUCACAAGUCGUCUACCACAUCACCCCGCUCACAGUCCCCCCUGGUUUGCUGAAAAGCAUCAACAAGAUUGAGCGGGCAUUUUUGUGGUCAGCUAGUGACACAACUACAGGAGCAAAAUGCAAGGUCAAUUGGGAGACAGUCUGCCGCCCUACACAGCUCGGUGGGCUUGGCAUACUCCACUUGGGGAAAUUUGCAAGAGCUCACAGGCUGAGAUGGCCCUGGAUGGCAUGGAAGGACCCGUCUAAGUUGUGGGUUGGCCUGGGCAACCCAUGCUCCGAGGUGGAUAUGAACCUUUUCUACGCAUCCACAGUCAUCACCUUGGGCAAUGGAGGGAAGACACCUUUCUGGGAAGCGCCAUGGUUAGGAGGGAAAAGGCCAAAGGAUAUUGCCCCACUCCUUUUUGCGCCCUGCAAGGGAAAAAAUGGUGCGUGA